rnacentral:rRNA from 1 species
UGGCGGACGGGUGAGUAACGCGUAAGAACUUGCCCUUUAGACUGGGAUAACAGAGGGAAACUUCUGAUAAUACUGGAUAAGUUAGUAUAUCGCAUGAUAUGCAAAUGAAAGCUACGGCACUAAAGGAGAGCUUUGCGUCCUAUUAGCUAGUUGGUAAGGUAAGAGCUUACCAAGGCGAUGAUAGGUAGCCGGCCUGAGAGGGUGGACGGCCACAAGGGGACUGAGAUACGGCCCUUACUCCUACGGGAGGCAGCAGAC